rnacentral:rRNA from 1 species
UGCAGUCGUACGAGAGUUUUUAACUCAAGUGGCGGACGGGUGAGUAACACGUAAGAAUUUGCCUUUAGGAGGGGGAUAACAACUGGAAACGGUUGCUAAUACCCCAUAUGCUUUUGAGUGAAAUGGAUUUUUCCGCCUAAAGAGAAGCUUGCGGCUGAUUAGCUUGUUGGUAAGGUAAUGGCUUACCAAGGCGACGAUCAGUAUCUGGUUUGAGAGGACGAUCAGACACACUGGAACUGAGACACGGUCCAGACUCCUACGGGAGGCAGCAGUAGGGAAUUUUCCGCAAUGGGCGAAAGCCUGACGGAGCAAUACCGCGUGAGGGAUGACGGCCUAUGGGUUGUAAACCUCUUUUUUCAGGGAGGAACAAAAUGACGUGUACCUGAAGAAUAAGCAUCGGCUAACUCCGUGCCAGCAGCCGCGGUAAGACGGAGGAUGCAAGUGUUAUCCGGAAUCACUGGGCGUAAAGCGUCUGUAGGUGGUCAAAUAAGUCAACUGUUAAAUCUUGAGGCUCAACCUCAAAAUCGCAGUCGAAACUAUUAGACUAGAGUAUAGUAGGGGUAAAGGGGAUUUCCAGUGGAGCGGUGAAAUGCGUAGAGAUUGGAAAGAACACCGAUGGCGAAGGCACUUUACUGGGCUAUUACUAACACUCAGAGACGAAAGCUAGGGUAGCAAAUGGGAUUAGAUACCCCAGUAGUCCUAGCUGUAAACAAUGGAUACUAGAUGUUGAACAGAUCGACCUGUGCAGUAUUAAAGCUAACGCGUUAAGUAUCCCGCCUGGGAAGUAUGCUCGCAAGAGUGAAACUCAAAGGAGACGGGGGCCCGCACAAGCGGUGGACAUGGUUAAUCGAUGCAACGC